GACAGAGGGUGCAAGCGUUAUUCGGAGUUACUGGGCGUAAAGGGCGCGUAGGUGGUUUGAUCAGUCUGGUGUGAAAGCCCCACUCUUAAGGUGGGAAGUGCACCAGAUACUGUCAGACUCGAGUGCAGGAGGGGAGAGCGGAAUUCCUGGUGUAGAGGUGAAAUUCGUAGAUAUCAGGAGGAACAACGGCGGCGAAGGCGGCUCUCUGGACUGUAACUGACGCUGAGGCGCGAAAGCGUGGGGAGCAAACAGG
rnacentral:misc_RNA from 1 species